UGAGCCGACCGGACCGAACAUUUCAGUGCGGCCGGCUCAUUGAAAUGAAUUGCAUACGGGAGCGCGAGGUUUUAGCUCUCCCCUGCCGUAUGCGCUCCCGUAUGGGGGAAAACGCAAUGGGAACCCAGCCUAAUUCUGUCACUUGAGACAAACGUCCCAGUUCUUCAGAAUGUCAAACCUUCCGUUCCUUUGCUUUCUAUGGCAGAAGUCAUCUUCACCAUUCUUUAGGCCAGUGGUCCGCAGGUUGAAGACCACUGCUUUAGGCUCUCAAGUGGCUAGCUCUAUUUUGCUAAAGAUAUUACAACAUUUUGUAUGCUUAUUUAUGCAACCCUGUCACCAUCUGAGUGCUGGUGUAUAUUUAUAUAAAUCUAUAUGUGCGUAUGUAUAUUUGUAUAGUAUAUAAUUCUGUACAUACACACAUGCAUACAGACGAAAAUGUAUGGAAUAAAUGCUAAUAUCAGCCCUAACUGCAGAUGGGAUGGCCAGCAUGAAAGGAAUACUUUUUUUGAAUUGAGUUGCCGCGUGACUUACAGACAAAUCUUUUCACGAGCUGUAUGUAAGGGUUCAGAGAGCCUGACAAUCCGGACAUUGUCAUAUAUUGCAAACACAUUUUGUUAGUGAUGCUAGGUGGUUGACAAGAGUAUUUUUAAAAUAAAUCCCUAUGUAAUAAGCAGUG